rnacentral:tRNA from 1 species
GAAGGGGAGAGCUCAGCGGUAGAGCGUGUGCUUAGCAUGAGCGAGGUCCUGGGUUCAAUCCCCAGUCCCUCCA